rnacentral:lncRNA from 1 species
AAUAUUUUUAAUCUCUUUAGAUUGAUAUUCAAGAUAAGUGAAUCCUUGGCCAGGAAGAAAUGACAACAGUAACGACAGCUUUUACACUAGGUUGGGCCCCCUAGGUUCAACCGACACACUAACGCGAUAAUGGUGGAGAAAAAACAUCAACCAUGCAAUAACAGUCAACAUACACGUUUGACAACCUGCCAUACGUCAAGACCAGAAUACAGCCUCGAACAAACCCUCAAAAAUACACCUGGAAUACCAUCAAAUAAUUAAACCGCGACAGAAAUUGUCAAAUUGUGGCUAUGUCGGGAAAGAUACCAUUAAAGCAACCGAAGGCAAUAAUUUUGUUCUCUAUACCAAGCGAAGAGGGGCCGAGUUCUGCAUCAUUGAACAAUCAAUAUACGACGUAGACACACCAUGGAAUUACCAUCUGUAACGGUGUUCGCAUGUCUGCCAAAGUGGUUGAAAGCAAACUCAAGUCAGUCAGGGAAGACAUACGUGUAUAUACACGAAAAAGCAUUAUCACACACAUUAGAUAUUAACAUAGCAUUUCGGCCAAUGACAUGGUGUAAUUUACAUGACGUGUAUCUAUUUUGAUACCCCGUCUAGACCAGGUCAAUAUAAUUACUAGCUUCAAGUGGGAAGGGCUUUGAACAAUAGGCAAAUUGAGGGAGUAAACAAAACAUUAUGCAAAUAUGUUUAAUUGCUAUGUUUAAAAUUAUUUUUAAAUACAGUAAGCUGUAUUUAGAACCUUUUUCUAACAACACUUUAUAUCUAUCACUUUUUCUGAACGUUUGAAAACUACAUACUGUAAAUAUACGAAAACAAAAAUUACUAUUUUUCAACCAACUAUCAUAAUAAACCGCGCUUUAAUUAAACAUUACAGCAAUAAUACAGCAACUUAUCAGUAAUAUUUACCGUCUAAUAUAUUCGCUUCGCGGCUCUUCCAUUUUCCACCAGAUUUAGCGCCGUAUCGCACGCACAAUCUGAUAUAUCGGAUCUCCAUCCUUGUCAGCGAGUGGCUUUCUUUACAUUUUCAAUACUGCGUGUGCUCAACACUUCCCGGUUGUCGAAACCGCUUUUUCUUAUAAGAAGAUGCCAUAUGCUAUUUUGCCAAGAAAAUUCAUCUAUUCACAACGAAAGUGAACCGCAUGAAUUCUUCGUUACACUUCAUGCAAACUUUCAAGCGAAUGUAAUCCUUAUGCCCACGCACACUUUUUUGAAUAUCUAAUAAUUUCAUGCCUCAUUGCUAUAUGAAUAUCUAAUAAUGUCUGAGAAGCAAUUUCAAAUCCUCGUUAGUGUAUAAACUUGGCUUCCAAAUCCCCAGUGCCAUGAACAAUGGCUGGCUGCGCAUCGCCAUUGUUCAUGGCACUUGUAUCUAGAAACCACGUCUAAAACACUAACUCGGAUUUGAAAUAUUACUUCUAAAACACAUUAAUUUAAAAAGAGUUGUACGUACUUCCACAUGCAAACACUGAACUAUAUGGGUGCGUUCCUUCAGUGUAAUCCGGAUUUGGAUCUUCAAAUCCGAUUAUCGAUUUUCAGUUUCGUUUAACAAAAUCUUAAAAUACAGGGUGUAUAAAAAAAACUGAACAGAUUUGAAAUUGCUCUCAAUUUCGCAAAACACGUAUUUGUAUCUGGUUUUUUAUAUAUAUAGCUUCUUUGGGUACUUAUAAUGUAAAAUAAUGAAAAAAAAUUCUCGAACUCAAAUUUUGUGAACCAGGGGUGUGUGUCUUUUCCAACAAACUAAAAAUGGCUCGCGCACAAAAUUUAAAGGCUGUAAUCAUAUUUUGAGUUAACAGAUUGACAAUUUGUCGGGUUUUUAAUUACUGUACAAAAUUUCAGACAAUUUGGUUUAGUUUAACUAUUCAUUUUGUUCUAAAAAUCAGCCUUUCGCAUGCUUAAUUAAUGCCUUUACCUAAUUUGCAUAUUACUGACAUAUGCAAAUUAGGCAAAUGCAUAAUUAAGCAUGCAAACAGCUGAUUUUUCGGAAAAUUGUAA